AAACUGAAGGGUUUGAUCCUGGCUCAGAACGAACGCUGGCGGCGUGGCUAAGACAUGCAAGUCGAACGGGCCAUCCGAUUGAGCAAUCGAGAGGAUGGUCAGUGGCGAAAGGGUGCGUAAUGGAUAGGUAACGUACCCCGUACUCCGGGAUAGCGUCGUCCCGAGCAAUCGGGACUACCGAAAGGGGCGGUAAUACCGGAUAAUAUCAGCAGCCGCAGGGUUGCUGAUCAAAGAUUCUAUCGGUACGGGAGCGGCCUAUCUCCUAUCAGCUAGUUGGUGAGGUAAUGGCCCACCAAGGCUGCGACGGGUAGCGGGACUGAGAGGUCGGCCCGCCACAUCGGGACUGAGACACUGCCCGGACCUCCACGGAGGGCUGCAGUAACGAAUCUUGGGCAAUGGGCGAAAGCCUGACCCAGCGACGCCGCGUGUGGGAUGAAGUCCUUCGGGAUGUAAACCACUGUCAGGGGUAAGAAAGCCCCGAGCAAUCGGGGUUGAUCGAACCCAGAGGAAGCCACGGCUAACUCUGUGCCAGCAGCCGCGGUAAGACAGAGGUGGCGAGCGUUGUUCGGUGUUACUGGGCUUAGAGCGUGUGUAGGUGGGAAGGUACGCGCCUUGUGAAAUCCCCCGGCUCAACCGGGGAAUUGCGGGGCGAACCGCCUUCCUUGAGGCAAGUAGGGGUGCGUGGAACUCUUGGUGGAGCGGUGGAAUGCGUAGAUAUCAAGAGGAACGCCGGAGGUGAAGACGACGCACUGGGCUGGUCCUGACACUGAGACACGAAAGCGUGGGGAGCAAACAGGAUUAGAUACCCUGGUAGUCCACGCCCUAAACGAUGCCUACUAGGUGGUGGGGGUUCUGACGCCCUCACGGCCGUAGCGAAAGCGUUAAGUAGGCCGCCUGGGGAGUACGGUCGCAAGGCUAAAACUCAAAGGAAUUGACGGGGGCUCACACAAGCGGUGGAGCAUGUGGAUUAAUUCGAAGCAACGCGCAGAACCUUACCUGGGUUUGACAUG
rnacentral:rRNA from 1 species